rnacentral:misc_RNA from 1 species
AAGUCGUAACAAGGUUUCCGUAGGUGAACCUGCGGAAGGAUCAUUACCGAGUGAGGGCCCUCUGGGUCCAACCUCCCACCCGUGUUUAUUUUACCUUGUUGCUUCGGCGGGCCCGCCUUAACUGGCCGCCGGGGGGCUUACGCCCCCGGGCCCGCGCCCGCCGAAGACACCCUCGAACUCUGUCUGAAGAUUGAAGUCUGAGUGAAAAUAUAAAUUAUUUAAAACUUUCAACAACGGAUCUCUUGGUUCCG